rnacentral:sRNA from 1 species
CUGAAAGCCCUGGAGACUGAAGUCCACUCUUUAUCCACAGGACAUGGAAAAGCAGAGACAACAGUAAUGCAAGUGUCCUCAAAUUGAUCCACCACUGAAUCUUAACCUGGGACCUGAGCCCCGCAAGCCCAAGUCAUCUGACCUAGGACAGCCAUGGGUUUUUAUCCCUGUGUAGAUGUACCCUAUGACGCU